rnacentral:tRNA from 1 species
CUUUUUGUAUCUAAGUUUAAGAGCUGGGUUCUUACCUCAGUAAUGUGUUAAACACCAAAAAGC